CAGUCGCCGCGGGAAUACGUAGGUGGCAAGCGUUGUCCGGAAUUAUUGGGCGUAAAGGGCUCGCAGGCGGUUUCUUAAGUCUGAUGUGAAAACCCCCGGCUCAACCGGGGAAGGUCAUUGGAAACUGGGAAACUUGAGUGCAGAAGAGGAGAGUGGAAUUCCACGUGUAGCGGUGAAAUGCGUAGAGAUGUGGAGGAACACCAGUGGCGAAGGCGACUCUCUGGUCUGUAACUGACGCUGAGGAGCGAAAGCGUGGGGAGCGAACAGGAUUAGAUACCCCGGUAGUCCCUGUCUCUUAUAC
rnacentral:rRNA from 1 species